GGAAGGGUCGCAUAGUUGGCCUAGUGCGCGCGACUGGAAAUCGCGUAGGCGGUAAUCCCGCCUCGAGGGUUCGAAUCCCUCCCCUUCCG
rnacentral:tRNA from 1 species